rnacentral:rRNA from 1 species
GAUGAACGCUGGCGGCAGGCCUAAUACAUGCAAGUCGAACGGCAGCACAGCUUAAGCUUGCUUAAGUGGGUGGCGAGUGGCGGACGGGUGAGGAAUACGUGGGAAUCUGCCCAGUCGUGGGGGAUAACGUAGGGAAACUUACGCUAAUACCGCAUGCGCCCUUUGGGGGAAAGCCGGGGAUCUUCGGACCUGGCGCGAUUGGAUGAGCCCACGUCGGAUUAGCUAGUUGGAGGGGUAAAGGCCCACCAAGGCGACGAUCCGUAGCUGGUCUGAGGGGAUGAUCAGCCACACUGGAACUGAGACACGGUCCAGACUCCUACGGGAGGCAGCAGUAGGGAAUAUUGGACAAUGGGCGCAAGCCUGAUCCAGCCAUGCCGCGUGAGUGAAGAAGGCCCUCGGGUUGUAAAGCUCUUUUGUUGGGGAAGAAAAGCCUUGGGUUAAUACCCUGAGGUUCUGACGGUACCCAAAGAAUAAGCACCGGCUAACUUCGUGCCAGCAGCCGCCGUAA